GAGGGCGGGCUGUACCAUCCGCGGGAGGAGCUUCGGGUCCUCUUCGCGCGCCCGGGCGCCGCGGGGCCCGGCCAUCUCCGGGCUGCCCUCGGAGGCCGGGCUGCGCGGGCGUUUGGCGCCCAGCCCCCUACUCUGCGCGGCGCCCUCUUUGUGUACAGGCCCGCGGCAGCCCCCCGCUUUCUUCCCCGCGGAUGCGCACGUGCGUCCCGAGCACGGCGGCUGCGCCCAGAGACCCGCCUGACCCCGGGCGCCCUUAGCCCUGGUCCGGGCUCCAGCCACCGCAGCACGCUCGCCUCUGGUCUCGCGCUCUGCCCUCAGGCACCUGUCCCCCGGUGAUUCACGCAAGGCCCCGUCUGCAGGUGAAGUGGCCUCCCUUAGAGCGACCCGAAAAGUGUGGUCCGUAUUUCAAGGUGGACUUUAAAAGGCGGUGUUGCCUUGCGCCCGCGGGCCCUGCCGGUGGCCGUGCGCUCCAAGACGUUAAGGGAAGGGCAGGCCUUCCCUAGUGCAGAGGCACGGGGCUUGGCCCACUGUCCAUUUUUGCAGAAACCUUCCUCCUGUGUGGGAUCGCUGUCUGGAGAAGGGCUCCCGCGCUGCUCCGGGAAGAAGCAGACCCAGGACGGGAACACGUGGCUGGAAGGUCCCUGGGGGCCAUCUCCAGAAAAGAGGAAGAGCUGCAAGUGCCGUCAGUGAUCCCCUCCAGGCACCCAGAGCCUUAACUGAAAUACCGGAUCGUUCCCUAGAUUUUUGCUACAUUAAACUAUAUUGUCCAGUUAAAAAAAAAAAAGAGUACGAAACACCGUCGUAGAGGACAACGAUUCCUGGCUCUCCCCUGACUGCACAGCCUUUGGACAGCUUUGCCAGUGAAAGAGCUUUGUUCCAACCACCUGCCCCAGUGCAGCUGUGUCGAUGGCACAAAGCUUCGUUCCGCAGCUCCUAUUUCACAGCGGUCCCCUCUCCCUGGUCUCGUUGCGGGUCACACCAUGAUGGCUGCC